rnacentral:rRNA from 1 species
GACGAACGCUGGCGGCGUGCUUAGCACAUGCAAGUCGAACGGAAAGGCCUGCUUUCCCUUGUGGAUUGCGGGUACUCGAGUGGCGAACGGGUGAGUAACACGUGAGUGAUCUGCCCCCAACUUGGGUAUAAGCCUGGGAAACUGGGUCUAAUUCCCGAUAGGACUGCAGGGUGGUGCCUGUGGUGGAAAACGAUUUUCUAGUGGUUGGGGAUGAGCUCGCGGCCUAUCAGCUUGUUGGUGGGGUAAUGGCCUACCAAGGCGGCGACGGGUAGCCGGCCUGAGAGGGUGGACGGCCACAUUGGGACUGGGAUACGGCCCAGACUCCUACGGGAGGCAGCAGUGGGGAAUAUUGCACAAUGGGCGGAAGCCUGAUGCAGCGACGCCGCGUGGGGGAUGACGGCCUUCGGGUUGUAAACUCCUUUCGACCGCGAGGAAGCCACCUGGUUGGAAGGGUGGUGACGGUAGUGGUAGAAGAAGCACCGGCUAACUACGUG